GAAUGAAUGAAUAAGUUUAUUGGCCAAGUAUGUACACAUACAAGGAAUAUGCCUUGGUGCUCCGCUCGCAAGCAACAGCACAACAUACAGAAACAAUGAAGAAUGACACAUAAAACAUUAAACAUGUAGGUUCAUGUAAAUGCAAUAAAAUACCA